rnacentral:rRNA from 1 species
CCUACGGGAGGCAGCAGUGAGGAAUAUUGGUCAAUGGUCGGGAGACUGAACCAGCCAAGCCGCGUGAGGGAUGAAGGUACAGAGUAUCGUAAACCUCUUUUGUCAGGGAACAAAGGCGGGGACGUGUCCCCGGAUGAGUGUACCUGAAGAAAAAGCAUCGGCUAACUCCGUGCCAGCAGCCGCGGUAAUACGGAGGAUGCGAGCGUUAUCCGGAUUUAUUGGGUUUACAGGGUGCGCAGGCGGUCUGUUAAGUCAGCGGUCAAAGCCCGGGGCUCAACCCCGGCCCGCCGUUGAAACUGGCAGUCGCGAGUUGGAGAGAAGUAUGCGGAAGGCGCGGUGUAGCGGUGAAAUGCAUAGAUAUCGCGCAGAACUCCGAUUGCGAAGGCAGCAUGCCGGCUCCACACUGACGCUGAGGCACGAAAGCGUGGGUAUCGAACAGGAUUAGAUACCCUUGUAGUC